ACAGAUGAUGGCGACUAUCAGGUAAAACUCCGCAGCCUGAUUCGCUUUCUGGAAGAGGGUGAUAAAGCUAAGAUCACACUGCGUUUUCGCGGUCGUGAGAUGGCUCACCAGCAGAUCGGUAUGGAAGUGCUUAACCGCGUCCGUGACGAUCUGGUCGAUUUGGCAGUGGUUGAAUCCUUCCCAAGUAGGAUUGAAGGCCGCCAGAUGGUGAUGGUGCUCGCCCCUAAGAAGAAACAGUAAGGCAUACAAGUAGUAAACCCGAAUGGUUUAGGCCGUUCGGGCUUUAUUCGCCCAACUGGUUCGUUUUAUUAACAAUGCGAAGUGGAUAUAUUUAAAAUGCCAA
rnacentral:misc_RNA from 1 species